rnacentral:snRNA from 1 species
UUAGCUUUCUCAUCACAGCU